UACACCGCCGCCGUCGCCACCAAACUCGGCUUCGAUAGGUAAAUAAGCUUCUAGACACCCCUAAGAUCUUUUUCUGUAUUGGUACGUGAUUGAUUCGAUUGAUCCUGUAAGCAUGCCGAAGUGGGUAUGCAGUCCAUGGAGUUGGGAUCUCGCUGUUGUUUAUUUUCUUUGUCGGUUCUUCUGCGGGAAUGAUGAAUCCACCAAGCAAUUGGGGGAGGCCGAGAGGUUGGGCGGUUGGUCCAGUUCACCCUUUAUUAGGGUGCUUGUAAAUCCCAGCUGAGACUUGAGAUACAGUGAGAAACAUGGGAUUCUCUGUAUUGAUAGAGACAAAGUUCCUAUGUCCAGUACUAACCUGAGAUGUAUUUUGGUUGGUAUGGAAUCUGUAGCACAAAAAAUGGUAGAUUUAGCCAUUUCUUUAUGACAAUGAUCGGAUCUUAGGUACAGUUCAGACUGGAAACCUAUGGCCUGUGAAUCAUCUUCAGUAUAGACGAAAGCUACCUAUUCUUGAUGCUGGUGACCAAUUUCAGAAUUAUGCAAAAUCUGCAAAAGUAAACAAACAUUGUUUGUUUCUGGCCUGGUAGAAUGAUACGUUUUGAUUUUGGCCGCAUGUGAUCCUUGCACUUCAUUAAACAUAUUAAUAUGAGGUAGAAAUUGAGGUUUCUUUAGGUUGAUCUGAUGAAUUGAGGGUAUUGCUUUACACACUAAAUUCUGGAGCUCAUUCUUUCUUUAUUCUAGCAACUGAAUGAUAAAAUUGCUUUGUUGUGUUAUCUCUUUCGACUUUCUUCGUCUCCUUUUGAGAGAAAUAUUUGAAUUUUUCUCUACAUAAUUACUAUAAGUAGUGCUAAAAUCCUAUUCGCAAAAAAGCCUGGAAAGAACCCUUCGACUGAGGUUUUGCUGUACAUUCAAAUAGAGCAUGCUCGUGUGGUGGGAGAGUUUUCAUAAUGCUUAAUAUAAUUUAUUAUUUUGUAUUAUAUUUAUGUUACUUUCUAAGUUACAAUAGUUGUUUCAUGCUCCGCUCAUCUAUCAAUGGGUUCUGAAAGAAGAUGUAUUUUAAUUCUUCCCAAAACUUGAGAAUAAAAAUAUCACUAAACUGUUUCUGAUCAACUUGCUGGGUAAUGGUAAGAUGGAUGGUUUCAAGGAAAAUAUGAAAGAACUGAUGUGCUGCCAAUUUGUCAAAAUUUUAGUCUGGGACAAUGAAAAAUGUAUGCAUGUUCAGAGGCAGAAUAAAAGACAAACCCUAAUCAGAUAUUAUCAGAUAGAAAAGUAGAAAUGUACUCUAGAUGAAACAUUCAGAAGACAUCAUCUAGGCUUAGUUUCAGAGGAGCGGACAAAAAAAUUGGGAGCCCCUUCAUUGUUUAUUCUAGCAACUGGAUUAUAAAAUUAUAUAUAUUUAUGUAUUUGUAGUGAUGUUUAGCAGGAAAUUGUUACUGUUGUUUUACUAAAGCUUCAUGUUCUUACUCUUAGUCGGCAUGGCAUGAGUUUCUCUGUUUUUACACUUUCGGUACUUCUCCAAGCAUCAGCUCUGAAACCAUAAACUCCAUUUAGGAUUUUGUUAUACUUUACUAAUGAUUUCAUGGAGGGGUUGCGCCCACAUCGAGAUGCUGUCCGGGGAUGUGCCCACAAGUCUGGGUCUUUGUGUCCUUCCUCAACCUCGGCAGUGACGUGACUUGACCUGGAAGUUGUCAAACCGAGCUCUGAUGAUACCAACAACGACUGGAAGCAUCCGGUGACGAGAUGAGCAUGCUUCUCGUGAUGUGUAUGCACAUGUGCCUUCGCUGCACUGAACUCGUUCUGCAUAUAUGUGCUUGCAAGAAAGGGCAACUAAUAUGUUUCUAUUUGUUAGAGAGCUCUGAAUAAGAUUAUUGUUUCGUCCUCUUACAGAAUUUGCUCUCCUUCCUUUUUGAUGCUUUCAUGAUUGAUAAGGUCUCUUCAUGAUUAUGUUUACAUAUGCGAUGGAUGCGUCAACGAAAAAUUUCAGCUGAAGCUCCUGGUACUCAAAGGUUACUGCUCUUUUUCAUAAGUUCAUUCACAGGACAUUGAUUCUUUCAAGAUAUAAUUGCUUGGAAACUGGGAACUUUGUAGAUCGUUUUUUUUCCUUCAAAAUGGAGGGGGUACCCCUGGCCUCUGCAUCGACUUUGUAGAUCAGGAUGUCUUUGGCAAUGGCACUGGACACAAAAUAAAAUCCAGACAAUCUCUAGGUGUUGAAGAAAUCGCGCAAUCAGGUGAAUACUGCUCAAAAGGUCAAAACCAAUGAAAGGUCUUCCUGUUACUCGCAGGAGGAAGUGAGCUCCAGCAAUGGCGGAGCGCGUGUUCCAACAGCGGCGGAGCGCAGGUUCCAGCAGCGGUCGCGAGACGUGAGCUCCAGUAGCGGCGGCCAGAGGCGAGCUCCAGC